ACCAUCAAACUCACCACCACCCACCAACAACCACCAUCACUAGAUCUGUAGUUUGCCACCAACAACCAGCCACCGUCACCUCCUGCCACUGGUCGCCGGUGGUAGUGAUUUGAGAUUAGUUGUCGAUCGACACCAGUCACCUGAAGCCACCGCCACGCCACUGGUCGUUUUUCCGAUUCACAAUUGCAGAUCUGAUAAGCAACUGCCCCACCUUUUCUUAAAAAUAUUUAAAUUUCAAAUCCAAUUCAAAUUUUGAUUUCUUUGACAUUGCAGAUCUGACGGUUGAGCAAGGAGUCCCAAGUGUCGUUAUCGAACGAUCGAAUUGUAUAGUAUCUUUUUGGCAGCUCAACCUAUGAUCACCUCAGAGGCCUAUGCGAAGCGAUUUGGGAUCGAUCCGGUUUUGAUUCUAGUAUGGAAAGAGCUGAGUAUGAUGAGAGCAUAGGGAUGUGGAGAGUGAAGAGUGUUGGGAUGAAAGGGGAGGAGGUGGAGUAUGUUUGCAGUUUGCGGAUGGCUAGUUGUGGCUGCCGGAGAGAAUGCGGAGGCGGUGGUGCCGGAGAUUGAAGGGAUGGAGGAGUUUAGCGGUGAGGUGAAGCAUACAUUGUGUAUAAAAGUGGAAGUGUUUAUAAGGGGGAAGAAAGUGUUGGUGGUGGGUUGUAAGAAUUCAGGAGUGGAACUGGAAGUGUGUUUGGAUCUUUUGGAUCUUUGCAAUCAUAAUUGCUAAACCUUCACUUGUUGUUAGGGAUUUUAAAUAAAAGUGUGAAAUAACCAAAAUACCCUUAAGUGAAUAGACUUAACUUAAAUUUUUAA